GCCUGGGUGGCUCAGUUGGUUAAGCGACUGACUUCGGCUCAGUUCGUGAUCUCAGGCU
rnacentral:tRNA from 1 species